GACGAACGCUGGCGGCGUGCUUAACACAUGCAAGUCGAACGGAAAGGCCCUGCUUUUGUGGGGUGCUCGAGUGGCGAACGGGUGAGUAACACGUGAGUAACCUGCCCUUGACUUUGGGAUAACUUCAGGAAACUGGGGCUAAUACCGGAUAGGAGCUCCUGCUGCAUGGUGGGGGUUGGAAAGUUUCGGCGGUUGGGGAUGGACUCGCGGCUUAUCAGCUUGUUGGUGGGGUAGUGGCUUACCAAGGCUUUGACGGGUAGGCGGCCUGAGAGGGUGACCGGCCACAUUGGGACUGAGAGACGGCCCAGACUCCUACGGGAGGCAGCAGUGGGGAAUAUUGCACAAUGGGCGGAAGCCGGAUGCAGCGACGCCGCGUGCGGGAUGACGGCCUUCGGGUUGUAAACAGCUGUCGCCUGUGACGAAGCGUGAGUGACGGUAAUGGGUAAAGAAGCACCGGCUAACUACGUG
rnacentral:rRNA from 1 species